rnacentral:rRNA from 1 species
UACAGAGGAGCCAAGCGUUGUCCGGAGUUACUGGGCGUAAAGCGCGCGCAGGCGGCCCGGCAAGCAUGGCGUGAAAGCCCCCGGCUCAACCGGGGAGGGUCGUCGUGGACUGCCGGGCUUGAGGGCGGUAGGGGUUGGUGGAAUGCCCGGUGUAGUGGUGAAAUGCGUAGAGAUCGGGCGGAACACCCGUGGCGAAGGCGGCCAACUGGGCCGACCCUGACGCUGAGGCGCGAAGGCGUGGGAGCGAACGGG